UACGGGGGGGGCAAGCGUUGCUCGGAAUUACUGGGCGUAAAGGGCGUGUAGGUGGUUUCGUAAGUCUGGCGUGAAAUUUUUCGGCUUAACCGGGAAAGGUCGUCGGAUACUGCGGAGCUAGAGGACGGUAGAGGCGUGUGGAAUUCCGGGUGUAGUGGUGAAAUGCGUAGAGAUCCGGAGGAACACCAGUGGCGAAGGCGACACGCUGGGCCGUACCUGACACUGAUGCGCGACAGCAUGGGGAGCAAACAGG
rnacentral:rRNA from 1 species